rnacentral:rRNA from 1 species
AGUCAACAUAACCAAAGGACGUGGAUAAACUCGGGAAACUGAGGCUAAACCGCGAUAGACCAAGAUACCUGGAAUGGUUUUUGAUUAAAAUCUAUAUGGCCUUUGGAUUGGACUGCGACCGAUCAGGCUGUUGGUGAGGUAAUGGCCCACCAAACCUGUAACCGGUACGGGCUCUGAGAGGAGGAGCCCGGAGAUGGGUACUGAGACAAGGACCCAGGCCCUAUGGGGCGCAGCAGGCGCGAAACCUCUGCAAUAGGCGAAAGCCUGACAGGGUUAUUCUGAGUGACUUUCGCUAAGAAAGUCUUUUGACACCUCUAAAAAUGGUGUAGAAUAAGGGGUGGGCAAGUCUGGUGUCAGCCGCCGCGGUAAUACCAGCACCCCGAGUGGUCGGGACGAUUAUUGGGCCUAAAGCAUCCGUAGCCGGUUUUACAAGUCCUCCGUUAAAUCCAACUGCUUAACAGAUGGGCCGCGGAGGAUACUAUAAGACUAGGAGGCAGGAGAGGCAAGCGGUACUCAGUGGGUAGGGGUAAAAUCCGUUGAUCCAUUGAAGACCACCAGUGGCGAAGGCGGCUUGCCAGAAUGCGCUCGACGGUGAGGGAUGAAAGCUGGGGGAGCAAACCGGAUUAGAUACCCGGGUAGUCCCAGCUGUAAACGAUGCAGACUCGGUGAUGGACUAGCUUUAUGCUAGUCCAGUGCC